rfam:Pediculus humanus corporis strain TSDA 1103172094918, whole genome shotgun sequence.
AAACCGGCCCUUUUCAGGGCCAAAAAUUUGACAACACGUUUUGU